CCAAAAUGUUUUGAUAACCAAAGAAAGAUCACUAUGUGCAAAGCUUUCUGAUAUGGGAAUUAGCAAACGCCUUCUUGAAGAUAUGUCUACGUUGGGUCAUAGUGUUACUGGAUGUGGGAGUUCAGGGUGGCAGGCACCAGAGCAGCUUGUUCAAGGACGCCAAUCACGAGCUUUAGAUUUGUUUAGUUUGGGAUGUGUCCUAUUUUUCUGUAUGACUGGGGAAGACAUCCAUUUGGAGAGUCCAUUCUAGAGGCAGAGGACCUUAUCUCUCGUUAUUAAAUCCUGAUCCGAAUUUAAGGCCAAAGGCGAUUGAAGUGUUGCACCAUCCUUUUUUCUGGAGUUCUGUGAUGAGACUUUCAUUUCUUCGAGACGCCAGUGAUAGGGUGGAACUUGAGGACAGAGAGACUGAUUUUGAUCUUCUUAGAACAUUAGAAAGCAUUGCUCCAAUGGCUUUAGGUGCAAAAUGGGACGAAAAGAUGGAACCGGCUUUCAUUACUAAUAUUGGUCCUUACAGAAGAUAUAAAUACGACAGUGUUCGAGACUUAUUAAGGGUCAUGAGAAACAAGCUAAAUCAUUAUAGAGAAUUACCUUAAGAAAUUCAGGUUUUGUCUUGAACUAGAACUUUUUACUAAGAUUUUUUUUAAAAAAAGAUUUGAGGAUGAGUCUUAUUUUCUACGAUUUUGGCUGAUCAGGAACUUGUAAGAUCUGUUCCAGAAGGAUUCAAUGACUAUUUUGCAAGUCGGUUCCAAGGCUCUUGAUUGAAGUAUACAGAGUUAUAUACGAAUAUUGCAAGGAAGAUGAAUGUUUUCAAAGGUAUCUUAGAGACAAUUAGUGCGUUAGCGUUGUUUUAAUGACCAUAAUUAUAUACAAAGUGAAUGAACAAGGUCAGAGAGGCCAUGGAACAAUUACAACGACAUAGGUUAACUAGCUCUAAUCUAACAGUGUAAUAUAUUAUUGUAAUACGAUGUAUAUAUGUACUUCGCCAAUUAGUAAUACAGGAAAGUUAUGGUUUAA